UGAAUACGAGACGCUAAGGCGUCGAAGUAGUGUAUGUCAUACUUCCAAGAAAAGCUUGCACUGUCAUAAGUAAAAAAUGCCUGUACCAUAACCGACACAGGUGGGUAGGUAGAGUAUACUAAGGGGCGCGAGAUAACUCUCUCUAAGGAACUCGGCAAAAUAACUCCGUAACUUCGGGAGAAGGAGUACCUUAUUCUAUAAGGUUGCAAUAACAAGAUCCAAGCAACUGUUUAUCAAAAACACAGGUCUCCGCUAAGUCGUAAGACGAUGUAUGGGGGCUGACGCCUGCCCAGUGCCAGAAGGUUAAAGAAGUCGGUUAGCAUUAGCGAAGCUGGUAACUGAAGCCCUGGUGAACGGCGGCCGUAACUAUAACGGUCCUAAGGUAGCGAAAUUCCUUGUCGGGUAAGUUCCGACCCGCACGAAAGGCGUAAUGAUUUGGAUACUGUCUCGGAGAGGGGCUCGGUGAAAUAGACUUGUCUGUGAAGAUGCGGACUACCUGCACCAGGACAGAAAGACCCUAUGAAGCUUUACUGUAACUUGAAAUUGAAAUUGGACUUUAUUCGCGCAGUAUAGGUGGGAGGUGUUGAUUAUAAUCUUGCGGGAUUAUUGGAGCCAUCAGUGAGAUACCACUCUUGUAAUGUUAGAUUUCUAACUUUGAAUCAUUAUCUGGUCAAAGGACAGUUUCAGGCGGGCAGUUUGACUGGGGCGGUCGCCUCCCAAACGGUAACGGAGGCGUACAAAGGUUUCCUCUGAACGGGUAGAAAUCGUAUCUAGAGUGUAAAGGCAUAAGGAAGCUUGACUGUGAGACCUACAAGUCGAACAGGGACGAAAGUCGGUCUUAGUGAUCUGACGGUACUGAGUGGAAAGGCCGUCACUCAACGGAUAAAAGUUACUCUAGGAUAACAGGCUGAUCUCCCCCAAGAGUUCACAUCGACGGGGAGGUUUGGCACCUCGAUGUCGGCUCAUCGCAUCCUGGGGCGGUAGUACGUCCCAAGGGUUGGGCUGUUCGCCCAUGAAAGCGGUACGCGAGCUGGGUUCAGAACGUCGUGAGACAGUUCGGUCCAUAUCCGGUGUAGGCGUUAGAAUAUUGAGAGGAGCCUUCUUUAGUACGAGAGGACCGAGAAGGACAUACCUCUGGUGUACCAGUUAUCGUGCCAACGGUAAACGCUGGGUAGCUAUGUAUGGAGUGGAUAACCACUGAAAGCAUCUAAGUGGGAAGCCCACCUCAAGAUAAGUAUCCUCA
rnacentral:rRNA from 1 species